ACUCCUACGGGAGGCAGCAGUGGGGAAUAUUGCACAAUGGGCGCAAGCCUGAUGCAGCCAUGCCGCGUGUAUGAAGAAGGCCUUCGGGUUGUAAAGUACUUUCUAGCAGUGAGGAAGGUGGUAGUGUUAAUAGCACUAUCAUUUGACGUUAGCUGCAGAAGAAGCACCGGCUAACUCCGUGCCAGCAGCCGCGGUAAUACGGAGGGUGCGAGCGUUAAUCGGAUUACUGGCGUAAAGCGCAUGCAGGUGGUUUGUUAAGUCAGAUGUGAAAGCCCGGGGCUCAACCUCGGAAUUGCAUUUGAAACUGGCAGACUAGAGUACUGUAGAGGGGGUAGAAUUUCAGGUGUAGCGGUGAAAUGCGUAG
rnacentral:rRNA from 1 species